UACGAAGGGGGCUAGCGUUGCUCGGAAUCACUGGGCGUAAAGCGCACGUAGGCGGCUUUCUAAGUCAGGGGUGAAAUCCUGGAGCUCGACUCCGGAACUGCCCUUGAAACUGCAGUGCUAGAAUCCUGGAGAGGCGAGUGGAAUUCCGAGUGUAGAGGUGAAAUUCGUAGAUAUUCGGAAGAACACCAGUGGCGAAGGCGACUCGCUGGACAGGUAUUGACGCUGAGGUGCGAAAGCGUGGGGAGCAAACAGG
rnacentral:rRNA from 1 species